GAUCAUGGCUCAGGAUGAACGCUGGCGGCAUGCCUAGACAUGCAAGUCGAACGGAGGUGGCCCAAAGAAGAUUGAGUGCUUGCACAAGAUUGGACUUGGAUUACCACCUAGUGGCGGACGGGUGAGUAACACGUAGGUGACCUGCCUUUGAGUUUGGGAUAACUAUUAGAAAUGAUAGCUAAUACCGGAUUAAAUGCAGAUUCGUUUCUGUAUUAAAAGGAGCCUUUAAAAGCUUCGCUUAAAGA
rnacentral:rRNA from 1 species